rnacentral:rRNA from 1 species
UGCCAGCCGCCGCGGUAAUACGAAGGGUGCUAGCGUUGUUCGGAAUUACUGGGCGUAAAGCGCAUGUAGGCUGAUUUGAAAGUCAGAUGUGAAAGCCCUGGGCUCAACCCAGGAAUUGCAUUUGAAACUUCAUGUCUUGAGUGGUGGAGAGGGAAGCGGAAUUCCUGGUGUAGAGGUGAAAUUCGUAGAUAUCAGGAGGAACACCGGUGGCGAAGGCGGCUUCCUGGACACCUACUGACGCUGAGAUGCGAAAGCGUGGGGAGCAAACAGGAUUAGAUA